GACGGAGGAUGCAAGUGUUAUCCGGAAUCACUGGGCGUAAAGCGUCUGUAGGUGGUUUAAUAAGUCAACUGUUAAAUCUUGAGGCUCAACCUCAAAAUCGCAGUCGAAACUAUUAGGCUAGAGUAUAGUAGGGGUAAAGGGAAUUUCCAGUGGAGCGGUGAAAUGCGUAGAGAUUGGGAGGAACACCAGUGGCGAAGGCGGCUCACUGGACCGGUACUGACGCUGAGGCGCGAAAGCGUGGGGAGCAAACGGG
rnacentral:rRNA from 1 species